UACGUAGGGUGCAAGCGUUGUCCGGAAUUAUUGGGCGUAAAGAGCUCGUAGGCGGUUUGUCGCGUCUGGUGUGAAAAUCCAGGGCUUAACCCUGGGCCUGCAUCGGGUACGGGCAGACUAGAGUUCGGUAGGGGAGAUCGGAAUUCCUGGUGUAGCGGUGAAAUGCGCAGAUAUCAGGAGGAACACCGGUGGCGAAGGCGGAUCUCUGGGCCGUAACUGACGCUGAGGAGCGAAAGCGUGGGGAGCGAACAGG
rnacentral:rRNA from 1 species